GACGAACGCUGGCGGCGUGCUUAACACAUGCAAGUCGAACGGAAAGGCCCUGCUUUUGUGGGGUGCUCGAGUGGCGAACGGGUGAGUAACACGUGAGUAACCUGCCCUUGACUUUGGGAUAACUUCAGGAAACUGGGACUAAUACCGGAUAGGAGCUCCUGCUGCAUGGUGGGGGUUGGAAAGUUUCGGCGGUUGGGGAUGGACUCGCGGCUUAUCAGCUUGUUGGUGGGGUAGUGGCUUACCAAGGCUUUGACGGGUAGCCGGCCUGAGAGGGUGACCGGCCACAUUGGGACUGAGAUACGGCCCAGACUCCUACGGGAGGCAGCAGUGGGGAAUAUUGCACAAUGUGCGGAAGCCUGAUGCAGCAACGCCGCGUGCGGGAUGACGGCCUUCGGGUUGUAAACCGCUUUCGCCUGUGACGAAGCGUGAGUGACGGUAAUGGGUAAAGAAGCACCGGCUAACUACGUG
rnacentral:rRNA from 1 species